rnacentral:rRNA from 1 species
UACGUAGGGUGCAAGCGUUGUCCGGAAUUAUUGGGCGUAAAGAGCUCGUAGGCGGUUUGUCGCGUCUGCUGUGAAAACUCGGGGCUUAACCCCGGGCCUGCAGUGGGUAUGGGCAGACUAGAGUGCGGUAGGGGAGACUGGAAUUCCUGGUGUAGCGGUGAAAUGCGCAGAUAUCAGGAGGAACACCGGUGGCGAAGGCGGGUCUCUGGGCCGUAACUGACGCUGAGGAGCGAAAGCGUGGGGAGCGAACAGG